UUCAGGAUGGCCGAAUGGUUAUGACAUCGGACUUCUGAUCCGAAUGACUAUUGUCAAGGUCGGUUCGAUUCCUGCUCCUGAAC